GCCCAGCGCCGAAUCUCUGGCGCGCCAGCGCGCCAGCGACAUGUGGCGUUCGGGAGGGUCCGUUAUUCCGGGGCUCGCCGUGCCGAGUCCAAGUCCUUCUUGAACGGGGCCACGGUCCGUAGAGGGUGCCAGACCCGUAGCGGCCGACGGCGUCCCCGGGUGGACCUCUCCUUAGAGUCGGGUUGCUUGAGAGUGCAGCCUAAAGCGGGUGGUAAACUCCAUCUAAGGCUAAAUAUCACCACGAGACCGAUAGCCAACAAGUACCGUGAGGGAAAGUUGAAAAGAACUUUGAAGAGAGAGUUCAAUAGUACGUGAAACCGUUCAGGGGUAAACGGGGAAGACUUGAAAAUCCGAAAGGAGAGAUUCACGUCUUCCGCUGGUCCCGUCAAGCCCGUCCGCGUAUGGCCGUACCCCCUCGCUCUGGCUCCGGCUCGGGCGACGGUGGGUCGGCCGGCCGGGCGGGCGCGGCGGGGCUGCGGAGGACCGCACUUCUCUCCCAGUAGGACGUCGCGACCCGUUCGGAGGCAGGCCUGAUGCCGGGCCGUAAGUCUCGAGACCGCCGCGGCCUUCGGGUCGUCGGCGCUCGGGUGGGCCUAGUGCAGGGUAGCGUUACGGACGGUAGUUAUAGACGGUGCUGAACCGCUCCUCGGAGCGCCUUCGGCCACCUCCGAGUCGGUCGUCGAGCGCGGACGCGGGCCUUCCGGGGCCCGCUCCGCUUCGCCUCCGGCUGUCGGGUUGUGGUCCUGGGGCGGUGUUCACGUCACCCGUCGGCGACGCCGCAGUUUCGAGCUCUUACCCGACCCGUCUUGAAACACGGACCAAGGAGUCCAACGUGUGCGCGAGUCGUUGGGCGUCAAAACCCAAAGGCGCAAUUAAGGUGAAGGGGAGCUUGUCUCUCCUAGGGAGGAGGGGGGCACCGCGCCUCACGGGCGGACUCCCCGCACUCCCGCGGCGUCUCAGGCUCAUCGCGAGCCGAGGCGGACCUAGAGCGUUCACGUUGGGACCCGAAAGAUGGUGAACUAUGCCUGGCCAGGACGAAGCCAGGGGAAACCCUGGUGGAGGUCCGUAGCGGUUCUGACGUGCAAAUCGAU
rnacentral:rRNA from 1 species